GAUGAACGCUGGCGGCGUGCCUAAUACAUGCAAGUCGAGCGAACAGACGAGGAGCUUGCUCCUUUGACGUUAGCGGCGGACGGGUGAGUAACACGUAGGUAACCUACCUAUAAGACUGGGAUAACUUCGGGAAACCGGAGCUAAUACCGGAUAAUAUUUCGAACCGCAUGGUUCGAUAGUGAAAGAUGGCUUUGCUAUCACUUAUAGAUGGACCUGCGCCGUAUUAGCUAGUUGGUAAGGUAACGGCUUACCAAGGCAACGAUACGUGGCCGACCUGAGAGGGUGAUCGGCCACACUGGAACUGAGACACGGUCCAGACUCCUACGGGAGGCAGCAGUAGGGAAUCUUCCGCAAUGGGCGAAAGCCUGACGGAGCAACGCCGCGUGAGUGAUGAAGGUCUUCGGAUCGUAAAACUCUGUUAUUAGGGAAGAACAAACGUGUAAGUAACUGUGCACGUCUUGACGGUACCUAAUCAGAAAGCCACGGCUAACUACGUG
rnacentral:rRNA from 1 species